rnacentral:rRNA from 1 species
GACGAACGCUGGCGGCGUGCUUAACACAUGCAAGUCGAACGAAGUGGCGAACGGGUGAGUAACGCGUAAUCAACCUGCCCUUCAGAGGGGGACAAAAGUUGGAAACGACUGCUAAUACCGCAUACUGAAGGAGGGGAUUGCGUCUGAUUAGCUAGUUGGAGGGGUAACGGCCCACCAAGGCGAUGAUCAGUAGCCGGUCUGAGAGGAGGAACGGACACAUUGGGCCUGAGACACGGCCCAUACUACUCCGGGAGGCAGCAGUGGGGAAUCUUCCGCAAUGGACGAGAGUCUGACGGAGCAACGCCGCGUGAGUGAUGACGGCCUUCGGGUUGUAAAGCUCUGGUAGUCAGGACGCGGUACCGGAAUAGAGAGCCACGGCUGACUACGUGCCAGCAGCCGCGGUAAUUC